CGGGAGCCCUCCGACAAGCUGUCAGUUUCCCAGUGACUUUGCAAGUGGAGAAUGGAACCACAAGGCUCCGCAGGAUGCUGCGGCCGACGGAUCCUUCCCUUUCUCCCUCUGUUCUCUACUACAUGCCAACCAUCAUUGUGUAUAGACGGAGACCUUGAUCUCUGAGCUGCAUUAUUGCUAGGAAGCACAAUUUGGCAAAGCACGUGUUCUGAAAAGCUGUUUUACACAUGGAGGAUUAAGUGGGAAGGCCCUAGAGUCCCCAUUCCUGUCUGCUGUAGAGCUUCAACCUGGUGGAUUCCAUAGGUCAAGGUGGGGUGGCAGGGUGAGGGCAGGUUGGCAGGGUGGGAGACAGCUUGGCAGAGUAAGGGGCAAGUUGGCAAGAGCGCAUAGGAAAUGGAACAGAAACAAAUGAGGGCCAGUCUACCAGGAAUGUAGUACCCAGAUGUCAGAAAAACGUGUAAUUCUGACUCAGAUCAGCAUCCUUUAAAGUCCUGAAUAAUGCCACCAGUAUGCUGUGAAUCCGAGUUAUGGAAACUUUAGGUAAAGAUGCAAGAUUUAUGCUCCACUCCCCCCCCCAACA